UACGGAGGGGGCUAGCGUUGUUCGGAAUUACUGGGCGUAAAGGGCGCGUAGGCGGUGUGUCAAGUCAGGCGUGAAAGCCCCGGGCUCAACCUGGGAACCGCGCUUGAGACUGGCACGCUCGAGUUCGGGAGAGGAUGGUGGAAUUCCCGGUGUAGAGGUGAAAUUCGUAGAUAUCGAGAGGAACACCUGCGGCGAAGGCGGGUUGCUGGGCUGACACUGACGCUGAAGCGCGAAAGCUAGGGGAGCGAACGGG
rnacentral:rRNA from 1 species